UAUGGUAGUGUGGGUGCCUGAUAUGUCAGACGUUGAGACGGGUAGGGAAAUCCGCCUGUUGAGUCGAGAUAUCGGGGCGAGCCUAUAAGGCGGAAGUGAGUUGAGCCUUGCUGCCGAGAAAAGCCGCUAAGCGAUGAAGAUCAGGUGCCUGUACCGCAAACCGACACUGGUAGACGAGUGGAGUACACUCAGGUGAACGGGAGAACCUUCGUCAAGGAAUUAGGCAAAUUAGCCCCGUAACUUAGGGAUAAGGGGUGCCUCUGCGCGUGGGCGAAAGCGUAGCGCGCGAAGGUUGCAACAAAGAGGCUCUAGUGACUGGUUAACAAAACCACAGGUCUCUGCGAAGUCGCAAGACGACGUAUAGGGGCUGACGCCUGCCCAGUGCCCAAGGUUAAGAGGAGAGGUCAGCGCAAGCGAAGCUUUGAAUCGAAGCCCCGGUGAACGGCGGCCGUAACUAUAACGGUCCUAAGGUAGCGAAAUUCCUUGUCGGGUAAGUUCCGACCCGCACGAACGGCGUAACAACUAGAGCACUGUCUCGACGAAGGACCCGGCGAAAUUGAAAUGGCUGUGAAGAUGCGGCCUACCCGCAGCAGGACAAAAAGACCCCGUGGAGCUUUACUGCAACCUGGCAUUGAGUUUGGGCAUGGUCUGUGUAGGAUAGGUGGGAGGUUGAGAAGCUGGCGCGUUAGCGUCGGUGGAGCCGACGGUGAAAUACCACCCUGAGCAUGUUUAGACCCUAACCGCUGGCCCUAAUCGGGCAGCGGGACCGUGCCAGGCAGGCAGUUUGACUGGGGCGGUCGCCUCCUAAAAGGUAACGGAGGCGCCCAAAGGUUCCCUCAGGUUGAAUGGAAACCAACCGAAGAGUGCAAAGGCAGAAGGGAGCUUGACUGCAAGACCAACGCGUCGAGCAGAGGCGAAAGUCGGGCUUAGUGAUCCCACGGUACUGAGUGGAAGGGCCGUGGCUUACCGGACAAAAGCUACCCCGGGGAUAACAGGCUGGUGAAGUCCAAGAGUUCACAUCGACGACUUCGCUCGGCACCUCGAUGUCGGCUCAUCGCAUCCUGGGGCUGGAUAAGGUCCCAAGGGUCGGGCUGUUCGCCCGUUAAAGCGGUACGCGAGCUGGGUUCAGACCGUCGUGAGACAGGUCGGUCUCUAUCCGCUGUGGGCGCAAGGGAUUUGAGAGGAGCUGCCCCUAGUACGAGAGGACCGGGGUGGACAGACCGCUGGUGUGCCAAUUGUCGUGCCAACGGCAGGUUGGGUAGCUAUGUCUGGCAGUGAUAACCGCUGAAAGCAUCUAAGUGGGAAGCACGCCUCAAGAUGAGAUCCCUCUUUCCGUAAGGAAUAAGGUCGCAGGAAGACUACCUGCUUGAUAGGCGGCAUGUGGAAGUGCAGUAAUGCAUGUAGCUAAGCCGUACUAAUGACCGAAGAUUUCCCGC
rnacentral:rRNA from 1 species